ACAAGCGGUGGAGCAUGUGGUUUAAUUCGUAAGCAACGCGAAGAACCUUACCAGGUCUUGACAUCCCGAUGCUAUUUCUAGAGAUAGAAAGUUACUUCGGUACAUCGGUGACAGGUGGUGCAUGGUUGUCGUCAGCUCGUGUCGUGAGAUGUUGGGUUAAGUCCCGCAACGAGCGCAACCCCUAUUGUUAGUUGCCAUCAUUCAGUUGGGCACUCUAGCGAGACUGCCGGUAAUAAACCGGAGGAAGGUGGGGAUGACGUCAAAUCAUCAUGCCCCUUAUGACCUGGGCUACACACGUGCUACAAUGGUUGGUACAACGAGUUGCGAGUCGGUGACGGCGAGCUAAUCUCUUAAAGCCAAUCUCAGUUCGGAUUGUAGGCUGCAACUCGCCUACAUGAAGUCGGAAUCGCUAGUAAUCGCGGAUCAGCACGCCGCGGUGAAUACGUUCCCGGGCCCU
rnacentral:rRNA from 1 species